UUAAGCGACUAAGCGUACACGGUGGAUGCCCUGGCAGUCAGAGGCGAUGAAGGACGUGCUAAUCUGCGAUAAGCGUCGGUAAGGUGAUAUGAACCGUUAUAACCGGCGAUUUCCGAAUGGGGAAACCCAGUGUGUUUCGACACACUAUCAUUAACUGAAUCCAUAGGUUAAUGAGGCGAACCGGGGGAACUGAAACAUCUAAGUACCCCGAGGAAAAGAAAUCAACCGAGAUUCCCCCAGUAGCGGCGAGCGAACGGGGAGCAGCCCAGAGCCUGAAUCAGUGUGUGUGUUAGUGGAAGCGUCUGGAAAGGCGCGCGAUACAGGGUGACAGCCCCGUACACAAAAAUGCACAUACUGUGAGCUCGAUGAGUAGGGCGGGACACGUGGUAUCCUGUCUGAAUAUGGGGGGACCAUCCUCCAAGGCUAAAUACUCCUGACUGACCGAUAGUGAACCAGUACCGUGAGGGAAAGGCGAAAAGAACCCCGGCGAGGGGAGUGAAAAAGAACCUGAAACCGUGUACGUACAAGCAGUGGGAGCACGCUUAGGCGUGUGACUGCGUACCUUUUGUAUAAUGGGUCAGCGACUUAUAUUCUGUAGCAAGGUUAACCGAAUAGGGGAGCCGAAGGGAAACCGAGUCUUAACUGGGCGUUAAGUUGCAGGGUAUAGACCCGAAACCCGGUGAUCUAGCCAUGGGCAGGUUGAAGGUUGGGUAACACUAACUGGAGGACCGAACCGACUAAUGUUGAAAAAUUAGCGGAUGACUUGUGGCUGGGGGUGAAAGGCCAAUCAAACCGGGAGAUAGCUGGUUCUCCCCGAAAGCUAUUUAGGUAGCGCCUCGUGAAUUCAUCUCCGGGGGUAGAGCACUGUUUCGGCAAGGGGGUCAUCCCGACUUACCAACCCGAUGCAAACUGCGAAUACCGGAGAAUGUUAUCACGGGAGACACACGGCGGGUGCUAACGUCCGUCGUGAAGAGGGAAACAACCCAGACCGCCAGCUAAGGUCCCAAAGUCAUGGUUAAGUGGGAAACGAUGUGGGAAGGCCCAGACAGCCAGGAUGUUGGCUUAGAAGCAGCCAUCAUUUAAAGAAAGCGUAAUAGCUCACUGGUCGAGUCGGCCUGCGCGGAAGAUGUAACGGGGCUAAACCAUGCACCGAAGCUGCGGCAGCGACGCUUAUGCGUUGUUGGGUAGGGGAGCGUUCUGUAAGCCUGUGAAGGUGUGCUGUGAGGCAUGCUGGAGGUAUCAGAAGUGCGAAUGCUGACAUAAGUAACGAUAAAGCGGGUGAAAAGCCCGCUCGCCGGAAGACCAAGGGUUCCUGUCCAACGUUAAUCGGGGCAGGGUGAGUCGACCCCUAAGGCGAGGCCGAAAGGCGUAGUCGAUGGGAAACAGGUUAAUAUUCCUGUACUUGGUGUUACUGCGAAGGGGGGACGGAGAAGGCUAUGUUGGCCGGGCGACGGUUGUCCCGGUUUAAGCGUGUAGGCUGGUUUUCCAGGCAAAUCCGGAAAAUCAAGGCUGAGGCGUGAUGACGAGGCACUACGGUGCUGAAGCAACAAAUGCCCUGCUUCCAGGAAAAGCCUCUAAGCAUCAGGUAACAUCAAAUCGUACCCCAAACCGACACAGGUGGUCAGGUAGAGAAUACCAAGGCGCUUGAGAGAACUCGGGUGAAGGAACUAGGCAAAAUGGUGCCGUAACUUCGGGAGAAGGCACGCUGAUAUGUAGGUGAAGUCCCUCGCGGAUGGAGCUGAAAUCAGUCGAAGAUACCAGCUGGCUGCAACUGUUUAUUAAAAACACAGCACUGUGCAAACACGAAAGUGGACGUAUACGGUGUGACGCCUGCCCGGUGCCGGAAGGUUAAUUGAUGGGGUCAGCGCAAGCGAAGCUCUUGAUCGAAGCCCCGGUAAACGGCGGCCGUAACUAUAACGGUCCUAAGGUAGCGAAAUUCCUUGUCGGGUAAGUUCCGACCUGCACGAAUGGCGUAAUGAUGGCCAGGCUGUCUCCACCCGAGACUCAGUGAAAUUGAACUCGCUGUGAAGAUGCAGUGUACCCGCGGCAAGACGGAAAGACCCCGUGAACCUUUACUAUAGCUUGACACUGAACAUUGAGCCUUGAUGUGUAGGAUAGGUGGGAGGCUUUGAAGUGUGGACGCCAGUCUGCAUGGAGCCGACCUUGAAAUACCACCCUUUAAUGUUUGAUGUUCUAACGUUGACCCGUAAUCCGGGUUGCGGACAGUGUCUGGUGGGUAGUUUGACUGGGGCGGUCUCCUCCUAAAGAGUAACGGAGGAGCACGAAGGUUGGCUAAUCCUGGUCGGACAUCAGGAGGUUAGUGCAAUGGCAUAAGCCAGCUUGACUGCGAGCGUGACGGCGCGAGCAGGUGCGAAAGCAGGUCAUAGUGAUCCGGUGGUUCUGAAUGGAAGGGCCAUCGCUCAACGGAUAAAAGGUACUCCGGGGAUAACAGGCUGAUACCGCCCAAGAGUUCAUAUCGACGGCGGUGUUUGGCACCUCGAUGUCGGCUCAUCACAUCCUGGGGCUGAAGUAGGUCCCAAGGGUAUGGCUGUUCGCCAUUUAAAGUGGUACGCGAGCUGGGUUUAGAACGUCGUGAGACAGUUCGGUCCCUAUCUGCCGUGGGCGCUGGAGAACUGAGGGGGGCUGCUCCUAGUACGAGAGGACCGGAGUGGACGCAUCACUGGUGUUCGGGUUGUCAUGCCAAUGGCACUGCCCGGUAGCUAAAUGCGGAAGAGAUAAGUGCUGAAAGCAUCUAAGCACGAAACUUGCCCCGAGAUGAGUUCUCCCUGACUCCUUGAGAGUCCUGAAGGAACGUUGAAGACGACGACGUUGAUAGGCCGGGUGUGUAAGCGCAGCGAUGCGUUGAGCUAACCGGUACUAAUGAACCGUGAGGCUUAACCUU
rnacentral:rRNA from 1 species